UACGAAGGGGCUAGCGUUGCUCGGAAUCACUGGGCGUAAAGGGCGCGUAGGCGGUGCGGUAAGUCUGUAGUGAAAUCUCUGGGCGUCAACCUCAGAGUCUGCUAUAGAAACUGCCGUGCUUGAGUGUGGGAGAGGUGAGUGGAAUUCCCGGUGUAGCGGUGAAAUGCGUAGAUAUCGAGAGGAACACCUGCGGCGAAGGCGGGUUGCUGGGCUGACACUGACGCUGAAAAGCGAAAAGCCAGGGGAGCAAACGGG
rnacentral:rRNA from 1 species